CAGCAGCCGCGGUAAUACGUAGGGUGCGAGCGUUAAUCGGAAUUACUGGGCGUAAAGCAUGCGCAGGCGGUUGUGUAAGGCAGGUGUGAAAUCCCCGGGCUUAACCUGGGAACUGCGCUUGUGACUGCACAGCUAGAGUAUGGCAGAGGGGGGUGGAAUUCCACGUGUAGCAGUGAAAUGCGUAGAGAUGCGGAGGAACACCGAUGGCGAAGGCAGCCCCCUGGGCCAACACUGACGCUCAUGCACGAAAGCGUGGGGAGCAAACAGGAUUAGAUACCCGAGUAGUCCCUGUCUCUUAUAC
rnacentral:rRNA from 1 species